UAUCCAACUCUUAACAUCACGUUAGCUUAGCUUUAUACAAAUGUGGAUGUUUUAGCCGUUAGGGUUAGGGAUUUUCUGCUUCUUGUAAAAUAAUUUAGAAAUCUAUGACGGCUUUUUACAAUUGACAUUUGAGCACAUACGCAGGUUUUUUUAAACACAGGUAAAUCUGCUGAAACCAGACUCCUUUCUCAUUGCCAGUCGACGAGUUUGUGUCAUGUUCGACACCACGUACGAGCUGCUAACAGGGUUAGCAAACAGUAAGAAAGCAGCACGAGGCCAGCGACAUUGAUACGGUGGUAGUUCAUAGCUGGAAAGGGGCGAGUGGAGACGAUUCAUACCCGACUGCUGCAGCGUUUGACCCGGGAACAGAAGUGACUGCUGAUUGGAGCAACAGGCGAGCAGCUACAGUGUGCAGCUGAUCUAAGCCCAACAUUUUCCAAGUUAUACUUUAAAACACAUAGAAAGAUACUGACAGAAGAUUCACAAGAACGAGCUGAUACGAAACAGUUUGUGUUUAAGUGGCUGAAAUAAGAAGCGCAGCAGAAACCAGAGACACAAACACUGAACCAACUGCUGACUGGCUGCUGGACGUCGGUCUGAGCUCAGAUAUGUUUUUCCUGACUGUGUCUUUCCUCUGACCUCCCUCCUCUUCAAUUUCCACGGCUCACGGCACCGCCUGCAGCCAUGUGUCCGUCAGGCGUGUCGUCACCUGGGGCUGAUCGUUUCCCAGCAGCGCCCUCAUUAACCCUGUACGCGCCGCCCACACUGUCCCUGAUCCUCAGCGGCUGCUGGAGCUUCAGACCGUCCCCCCACAGCAACCAGGUGCUGCCUGACCUCGCCGCUCUUCUGUGGGCCUUUACAGCUGCAGGGACCUUCAGAGAAAACCUUCCAGACACAAUCAGACCCUCUACCCACCACCCGAUCCCUGUUUCCUGGACUUAAAGCAUGGUUAUGUAACUUUUCCACCUUCCACGGGUCGGAACAAAUACAGAAACUGGUGUCUUGAUCUUUCACAGAGGACAGCAGCUGAAUGGACGGAUACAAACGGACAAUUAUUGAUUUAAAUCUGUAAUCUGGAACAUUUCUUCAUUAGUCAGUAUAUAAACUCUAGAGCUAUGUUUUA